GCGGGCCCACAACACUGUGCACACGCGGCGCCGGGGCGCGGGGUGGAGCGCACCGCCGCCUCCCUCUGCCCGCGCCCUCCCCACCGCCGACCCCCAGCUCGGGCGCCGCUGCCCCCGCCGGCCCGCCUCGCGGACGCCCGGCCCCCCCGCCUCCCGCAAGCUCUCCGGAGCCCCCGUUCCUUUGUCGCCGUGAAUGCCCCUCCUCGGCUGGAGGGCCCCGGGCGGAAUCGCGGCGGACUCGACGCGCCCCGGAGGGCGGGCAGGGUGCUCCCGCCCGGUCCCCCCACUCCCCGACUCCUUGGAGCGCCAGGCGACGCGCCGCCGGCCGAAAUGAGGGGGCGGGGCGGGGCGGGGGGUGGGGGCUUUCUUCCGAGACCACUAUUUACCUUGAGGCUCCUGUGACCCCGCGGUGACCCACCCGCUUCAGCGUCUGCAACUCCAACAUCAGCAAUUCAGAUCGUUUUAUUCCUUAAAAUUCUGCAGCCCAAGCAAUCUUAACGCGAAGUUACGAACAAUAACACUGAGAAGGCCGGCGCGGAGCGCGGGCACCUCAGCCCAGGAGGGAAAAGCAGCGCCGCAAGGAGUUACCUGCGUGGCGACAGGCGACAGUUUAGAGGAACAGGGGCCAGGUCAAGAAAAGUAACUGACGGGCCACUCUUGUCUCAGUUAUGGCAGGAAUCUUCGUGUUCCUCACAACUGUGUGUCAUUGUGUUGAAAGAAUGGCAAAUGUCAGCAAAGACGCAGGCCCACGUCUGUCCCAAACGAUGGUGGAUUUAUUUUUGCCAGCUUGUCUAGGGUGUGUGGAAGCAGGCGACAGCUCCCUGAGCUCAAGUAGAGCUUCAGCACGUAAAGCAGGAAGCGCUGGGGACCGUCUACCUGCCAUUUCAAAAUAAGGAACCAGGACAGAGAUUCAUCUGCUUUCCAGGAUCCCUGCACUGUCCACUGCCCCAGGCACUGGACUGUCAUGCAAAACAUGGUAUCAAAUCAGAAAUGAGGGAUCCCGUCCAAGAUUGUAUUCAUCAAUUCUGACGGCGUUCAAAGGAGAGUCCACCUUUCCUGCAGGUGUGUCUCCAUGUACAAAGAGAGAAGCUUCUACAGUUGCAGAAGUAAAACUGCUGGAGAGCCUCUUUUGAAGUAGGACAUAAAUAUCCCACCAGGGUUCGUGAUCAUUGUGUGAACAAUUGAAGGCGGCGAUGAACUGCUUCCUCCGAGGGGAGAGCCUUCUGAUUCGGCCGGAAGGACGGCAGGGGCUUUGGGAUGGGACCGUCUCAUGGUGGACUUUUCCACACAUUCAACUAUGAUUCGGAUUUCGCAUGCGCAUUGUCUGAGAAGCCUAGUCAAAUGGAGAAAAAUAAUAGAGGCUUCGUCUAAUUCCAUAAAGAUUAUUUCCACUAACUCAGCUAAAUUUGAGAUAGACGCAAAUUAUAUAGCCAUAUUUUUCCAUGUUAAUCAUAAAACAUUUUCCAAAAGGAAAGAUAUAUUUUUUUCUUUUUAGGGCCCCACCCUCAGCAUGUGGAAUUUCCC